ensembl:lncRNA
CACGGCUGCAGAGGACGCUUGCUCCGGGGCUGUGUUCCUGGCUCUGCCUCCCCAUCCCGCCCCCCGAGGCCUCUGCAGGAGCCUCACAGACACAGGCGACCUGUGAGCCCGGGAGGGAGCCCGGCAGACAGUGGCAAGGACCGAGGGAGAGGGACCGCAGCGCUGACGCGGUCCAGGCAACACCAAGGGCUACCAAGCGAAGCCCGCAGACAGCUUGAGCGGCUGCCCUCGGCUUCAUGUUAUGCUGCAGAGCUGAACUGCAGCCAGGAUAAAAGACUGAAACAAACCCGCAGCCCUCACUCCCAGCCCUGGCUGCUAUGCAUGAGAUCACAGCGCUGCAGUGUCCUGGCCAGGAGGUCAGAGAGCACUCACCGGGCCUGGGAGUGGACCUGGAACUCUGCUCAAGCGAGGAAGCUGCAGGCUCUAAGCUACACGACCUGGAAGUGGAACGCAAUAAAGAAGCUCACUCCUCGUGAGAAUGCACCGCUAGCACUGUCUCACAACAACCUGCUUGGAAACUGUGCAGUUCGCGGUCAGUCCCCUGAGAGCCAGCCUGAGCAGCACAGCGAGGUGAAGUCCCUGCCUGCCCUGUGACAAGGGCUGUCUUCCGGGAGCACCCUGCGCUUUCUCUCGUCUCUGAUCCAAAGUCUGUUCCUAAUGUGGUGUUUUUGUUCUUUGUACCAGGAGACUCAUUCUAUGCACAAAGCAUGUAGCUCAUUCUUUUUCUUCCUCUCUAAGAAGGGAAACAGAAUCUUUUCAGCCCUGCGAAGAAAGUUACUAGUUAUGGUAUUUACUUCAUGGACAGAGUAGCCUGGGGCUCCAGGUCACACCAAAUCCUCUUCUUAGUCGCAUGUUUCCAAUUAGAAUGAAAGAAAAAGCAACUAGAGAUGCCAUCCGCUACCUUGCUGAGAACACUCAGGGGCGGAGACGUGCAGAAUGGACAUCAAGUGUUAGAAUUCGACGGAGCUCUGAAAACUCGUCCUGACUUUGCAGACCUCAAAGUUGCCUCUCUGACCUUUCCUCCUGUCACCUCUCCUUGCUUGCACCUGUCGCCCCAGCACCCCUCUCCCCUGCUGCUCAGUUCUGCUAGGCGUCCCACUGGCAGAAUCUAAGACGAGUGAAGCGUGCUCGCUUUCACAUUUGGCUGAAGUAUCCGAAUCUUGACCAAUAAUCUGUGAUACUUUUGGAAGAUAUUCUGAAACAUUACUAAGAAGACCACCCUUCCAGAACUGAGGACGCUGCUCGGUGGUAAAGCACUUGCCGGGAAUGCACAAGACCCUGGGCUUCAUCAUGAGCGCCACCAGCAAAGGGUCGCCACCUUCCCAUCAUUAUGUCUCUAAAGAGCCAUGUGAAAGCAGCCUCAGGCAGGACCGAGGUGGAAUCGACACAGAAUGGAACACAGCUGGGCUGUACUGAGAGACGCACAGGUCGAGGCUUAGAGGCGGCUGAGUUCAAAUGCACUGUGGGAAUGAGAGCCGAUCCGGGACGGCAGGGUCCGUGCACGCAGGGGAAUCUGCACACGGACGGUGCACGAAGACCGUGUGAGCCCAGUCCCAGCUGCACGUCGGCCCGCCAUGGAAAAGCUUCCCGAGCCGAGCCUCAGCCUAGCACCCCUGUUCCAGGGCUCUCUCCUCCGGAGCUGUCACGGCCGGACUGGCAAAUCCAUCCCUCCUGGGGAGCUUUCUCCGU